GUUUCAAUCCCUUAUAAGUAGGCUAAAAAC
rnacentral:other from 1 species